AAAUUAUUAUACUCUUCACACUCGAGACGAGAAGACAGACAAGAUGAAGUGGUUCAACCUAUUUUUGGUGGUGCUAAGUCUAUUAGCAGUGUUCAGUUAUACCGACGCUAAGCCCGGCAAAAUAGGUGCUAUCAAGAAAGGAGCAGAGGUGGUUGGCAAAGGCAUCAAGGCGCUAAACAUCGCGGCUACAGCCAACGACGUCUACAAGUUCUUUCACCACAAGAAGCAUUAGACCCAAGACUUAUAAGUUAUAACCAAAUACUUAAACUUCUACCUUCUAGGCAGCAUAAAUGUUGACAAAUUCUUCGCCGGCGUAGCUGUAGCGACUUCAGUGCAGAACGCGUUGCACAACGGAAAAGGGAAGAACAAGCUGACCCAUCACGACCCAGUUCAUAAUAAAAACUCACAUACUUAC